rnacentral:tRNA from 1 species
ACCCGGCUUGCUCAUUCAUUAGAGCUUGAGACUCUUGAUCUCAGAGUCGUGAGUUCGAGCCCCGAGUUGGGUG